rnacentral:rRNA from 1 species
CAGUCGCCGCGGUAAUACGUAGGUGGCAAGCGUUGUCCGGAAUUAUUGGGCGUAAAGGGCUCGCAGGCGGUUUCUUAAGUCUGAUGUGAAAGCCCCCGGCUCAACCGGGGAGGGUCAUUGGAAACUGGGAAACUUGAGUGCAGAAGAGGAGAGUGGAAUUCCACGUGUAGCGGUGAAAUGCGUAGAGAUGUGGAGGAACAUCAGUGGCGAAGGCGACUCUCUGGUCUGUAACUGACGCUGAGGAGCGAAAGCGUGGGGAGCGAACAGGAUUAGAUACCCCAGUAGUCCCUGUCUCUUAUAC